rnacentral:rRNA from 1 species
GGCGAACGGGUGAGUAAUACAUCGGAACGUGCCCAGUAGUGGGGGAUAGCCCGGCGAAAGCCGGAUUAAUACCGCAUACGACCUACGGGUGAAAGCGGGGGAUCGCAAGACCUCGCGCUAUUGGAGCGGCCGAUGUCAGAUUAGCUAGUUGGUGGGGUAAAAGCCUACCAAGGCGACGAUCUGUAGCUGGUCUGAGAGGACGACCAGCCACACUGGGACUGAGACACGGCCCAGACUCCUACGGGAGGCAGCAGUGGGGAAUUUUGGACAAUGGGGGCAACCCUGAUCCAGCCAUGCCGCGUGCGGGAAGAAGGCCUUCGGGUUGUAAACCGCUUUUGUCAGGGAAGAAACGGUCUGCGCUAAUACCGCGGGACUAAUGACGGUACCUGAAGAAUAAGCACCGGCUAACUACGUGCCAGCAGCCGCGGUAAUACGUACGGGUGCAAGCGUUAAUCGGAAUUACUGGGCGUAAAGCGUGCGCAGGCGGCUUUGCAAGACAGAUGUGAAAUCCCCGGGCUCAAC